CGAAAACUCGAGAAAAAAACGAGACGAAAUGGUUUCUCUGCGCCUCACUUUCUUGUUUUCUCAGCCCCAAAAGCCUCUCAUCACCGGCCGAUCCCAUGCCCGCUCCCGCCGCGUCGCCUCGGCCGUUGCAUGCUCCGUCUCCGCCUUGGGUGUCGCCGUCGCCGCCUCUCGAGACCCCGACAACCCAUUUCUCCGAGAUGCCUUAAAUUUUUUUCGCUCCAAUUUCAAUCGCUCCUCUCCCGUCUGGGGCUCUCUCUCUCUAUCCGCCGACCCGUAUCCGGUUACC
rnacentral:lncRNA from 1 species